CCUACGGGUGGCAGCAGUGAGGAAUAUUGGUCAAUGGCCGAGAGGCUGAACCAGCCAAGUCGCGUGAGGGAAGAAGGCCCUACGGGUUGUAAACCUCUUUUGUCGGGGAGCAAAGCGAACCAAGUGUGGUACAUUGUGAGUACCCGAAGAAAAAGCAUCGGCUAACUUCGUGCCAGCAGCCGCGGUAAUACGGAGGAUGCGAGGGUUAUCCGGAUUUAUUGGGUUUAAAGGGUGCCCAGGCGGAGGUGCAAGUCAGCGGUCAAAUUGCGGGGCUCAACCCCGUACUGCCGUUGAAACUGUAUAACUUGAGGGCGCGAGAAGUAUGCGGAAUGCGUGGUGUAGCGGUGAAAUGCAUAGAUAUCACGCAGAACUCCGAUUGCGAAGGCAGCAUACCGGCGCGCAACUGACGCUCAUGCACGAAAGCGUGGGUAUCGAACAGGAUUAGAUACCCUAGUAGUC
rnacentral:rRNA from 1 species